GGGCAGUGAAGGGGAAGGGGGGCAGCCAAAGGAGGGGGGGGCAACAAAGAGGGGGGUGGGGGCAAUGUGAUCUGACCCCCCCCUUGUGCCCCCCCCAGGGCUCUGGUCGGGGGGUGCGCACCCGGCUCAGGAAGAAGGUGCCCCCCCCGGAUCAGGACAGCUGAUGUCCCCCCCCCCCACCACAACCUCACACCGCAUGGACCUCAUUAAUUGGGGGGGGGGCUGCUCUGUGUGCCCCCCCCCCCCCCCCCCCCAGGACUUUUACCCCCUGCAGGAGCCCCCCCCUCACCCCCAGGACGGGGAAGGACCCCCAUGGAGGGACAGCAGAGCGCCGCCCCCCAGCGCCCCCCAACGCCCCCCAACGCCGCCCCCCACCCCGGCACAGCGCGGACCUGUGGGGGUCCCUGGGGGAUUUGGAGCGGGGGGUCCCACGGACACGGCGGGGUCGGACGGUGAGACCCCCCCCCCGGGGGGCACGGGGGGGUCCAGAAGCUGAAGAAGACGUGGCUGACCCGGCUGUGGGAGGGGUCGGUGCGAACGGACGGGACCGAGGAGGGACCGAAACGUGGAACCAAACGGAACCGGGACGGAACCGGGACCGGCACCAACAAACGGGGACACAACGGAACCGGCACCGGCACCGAGCGGGGACCGGGAGGUAGAAACUGGGGUGGGGAACGGACGAACCCCGACACGAGGGACCCUCCUGGGUCCCCAUCAAAGCACCGCCCCCCCCCCAAAAGGUGCCGCCCCCCC
rnacentral:lncRNA from 1 species